rnacentral:SRP_RNA from 1 species
UACCAGCCGGGGAUUUAGCGGGGCCCUGAACCUGAAAUCCGCUACAGCAGGGGUGGAAUCCCCUUUUGAGGAAGGAACUUUUACGAGUGAGUCGGGGCUGCUGUGUUGAGGAGCGGGUCUUGCGCAAUCGGGAACUGUGAACCAUGUCAGGUGGGGAACCAAGCAGCAUUAAGCGGUCUCCCCGAUGUGCCGCGAGGGUGCCUGUUCUGAGCAGGGGACUCGAAUAUCGCGUGGGAGCGACUUUCG